AUUGAACGCUGGCGGCAGGCCUAACACAUGCAAGUCGAGCGGAUGAAGGGAGCUUGCUCCUGGAUUCAGCGGCGGACGGGUGAGUAAUGCCUAGGAAUCUGCCUGGUAGUGGGGAAUAACGUCCGGAAACGGGCGCUAAUACCGCAUACGUCCUGAGGGAGAAAGUGGGGGAUCUUCGGACCUCACGCUAUCAGAUGAGCCUAGGUCGGAUUAGCUAGUUGGUGGGGUAAAGGCCUACCAAGGCGACGAUCCGUAACUGGUCUGAGAGGAUGAUCAGUCACACUGGAACUGAGACACGGUCCAGACUCCUACGGGAGGCAGCAGUGGGGAAUAUUGGACAAUGGGCGAAAGCCUGAUCCAGCCAUGCCGCGUGUGUGAAGGAGGUCUUCGGAUUGUAAAGCACUUUAAGUUGGGAGGAAGGGCAGUAAGUUAAUACCUUGCUGUUUUGACGUUACCAACAGAAUAAGCACCGGCUAACUUCGUG
rnacentral:rRNA from 1 species